ACGAACGCUGGCGGCGUGCUUAACACAUGCAAGUCGAGCGGUAAGGCCUUUCGGGGUACACGAGCGGCGAACGGGUGAGUAACACGUGGGUGAUCUGCCCUGCACUCUGGGAUAAGCCUGGGAAACUGGGUCUAAUACUGGAUAUGACCUGCUCUCGCAUGGGGGUGGGUGGAAAGAUUUAUCGGUGCAGGAUGGGCCCGCGGCCUAUCAGCUUGUUGGUGGGGUAAUGGCCUACCAAGGCGACGACGGGUAGCCGGCCUGGGAGGGUGACCGGCCACACUGGGACUGAGAUACGGCCCAGACUCCUACGGGAGGCAGCAGUGGGGAAUAUUGCACAAUGGGCGCAAGCCUGAUGCAGCGACGCCGCGUGAGGGAUGACGGCCUUCGGGUUGUAAACCUCUCUCAGCAGGGACGAAGCGCAAGUGACGGUACCUGUAGAAGAAGGACCGGCCAACUACGU
rnacentral:rRNA from 1 species